UGGAGGCUGGAAGUCCAAGAUCAAGGUGCCUGCAGAGCCCGUGUCUGGUGAGGGCCUGGUUCCUGGUCUGCAGAUGGCCUCCUCUAUGUCCUCAGUGGCUGAGAGCAGAGACAAGUCCACUCCAGCCUGCACCACAGCCGAGAGAAAGACUCAGGGGAAUCUCUGAAGGAAGAAAGAACGUCCAACAGCUGCUGCGUUUAUCCAGGAAUGACGGGUUUUCUCCUAAUUCAACGACAUCGCUUCAGCCGGCUUUAGGUAUCGUCGGGAAUCUCCAUGACGUACUCAUGCACGCCCAAGUGGGGCCCUCAUUUUCGACCGUGCCUCUGAGUGAUCCUGAACCUGUUUCACAAUUGCUUCGGUUGAACGUGACCCCACCAGCCUGGCCACUCCUUUACCUCCGAGUGCUUGAUUCUAAGAAAUUCGUGCUCAGCAGGCAUGGCCUGAUUACACAGUCCAGUCGGGCGGUGAGCCUGCCCCCUCCCCCCGUGUUUUAAAGGAGGUUCAUCUGGCUCGGACCUUCUGGAGUGACCUGGGGUGAUCUCGAUGUCUCUGUAACUUCCUUCCUCUCCUCCUCCCUGUGCACCCCACCCCUUCCCACGGAUAAUGAAGAGACGAUUGUGUAAGAGACAGCCUGACCCACAAACUAUGUGUGUGGACAGAGCCGAGAGGAAAGCUGACUGCCCCUGCCCCCCUCAU